rnacentral:rRNA from 1 species
AUGGCUCCCGUCCAGCGGCACAACAGGGGUCCCGUACCCAAAUACGCACAAGAGACUGAUUACUUCACUAUGGAGUUCAUUUAUGAUGGAGUUUUCAUGGGGACAGGAGGCAAUAGGUCCUAUGUUAAUGGUAGGAAGGUUUCAUAUGAUUACUGUGAAGCUGAUGUAAUAUGUAUGGCCAUGUUUGGCGAUUUAAUUAAGGCAUUGGGUUAUGAAAGAAGGGGCAGAAUUAACAUAUACUUUUUGCUGCCCGGUAUGCAAAUCAAUGAAGAUGGUCUGCGGUUGUUAUCAAAGGACAGCGACACAACGUGCAUCAGGGCUAUGGUUAGAGAGGGACAUAGGUUUCUCAUGUUUUAUCUUGUGCAUGAUGAUAAAAUUGCUGCAGAAACACAGGAUGAUGUUAUUGCAAACCCCACCACUGAGUUGCCCAAUGUUAUCAGCCCUAUGAAUUGCGGUACAGACCAGGAGCAUGAGAGUGUUUUGGAGCAGAGCAUUGUGUCACCUAGUCAUGCUGAUGAGAGUAGAAUAGAAGGGACGAGUACAUGCAAAGGGAGAGGAAAAGCAAAGGAAGAAGAUGAUGUGUGUAGUGAUGAUGAAUCAUGUGACUCUGAUUACGUUGCAUCACUAGUAGACAGUGACUAUGAUCUAGAGGAUGGUGAUGCUGAUUUGUUCAUUGAUAGGAAGCAGAAUGGUGCAGAGAAGGAAUGCAAAGGGAAAAGUAAAGAAAUUGUAGAAGAUGACAUUUCUGAAGAUGAUAAACUGGAGCUUCCAGAUUCAGAUGAAGAAGACAUGAAAUUCAAUUUCAAGCAUUUUACAGAUGCAGAUAUGAAUGCGCCCAAGUUUCAUUUGGGUCAGGUCUUCACAUCUAUUGAUCAGUUGAGGAAAGCAAUUAGGGAGUACAGUUGCAAGGAGAGGUUGAACAUAACCUUUCCGAAGAAUGACAAAACUAGGCUUGGAGCGAAAUGCAAUGAUGGAUGCCCUUGGUACUUGUAUGCAUCAUAUGACAACAGGACACAAUCCAUCAUGAUCAAGACAUUCAAAGAUGAACACACUUGCUGCAAAAAGUGGCAAGUAAAAGCUUUUACAGCCAGAUAUAUAGCUCAUAAGUAUGUGGAGAAGAUCAGAGCUGAUGAGAAGAUUACACUUCAGGGUUUUGGGUCACUAGUGCAACAAGAAUGGAACAUGAAAGUGAAGAGGGGAAAACAUGGGAGAGCUAGGAAAAUUGCACACAACAUAAUCUAUGGAGAUGAAAUUGCACAAUACAAUAAGUUAUGGGACUAUGGGCAUGAGUUGAGGAGAUCCAAUCCAGGCAUCACUUUCUUUGUUGAGCUUGCCGAUGAUGGUCAGUUUCAGAAAUGUUAUUUCUCAUUUGAUGCAUGCAAGAGGGGGUUUCUAUCUGCUUGUAGGCCAGUACUUUUUGUUGAUGGAACCCAUUUGAAGACCCAAUUUAGUGGCAUUCUCUUGACAGCUAUUGGAAUGGACCCCAAUGACUGCAUCUUUCCAAUAGCUUUUGGUGUUGUUGAAGUUGAGAAUACAAAAAGUUGGAGGUGGUUCUUGACUGCAUUGAAAGAAGACCUAGGCAUUGUCAACACCUCCCGAUGGAGCAUUAUGUCAGACAAGCAGAAAGGAUUAAUUAGGGCUGUUAAGGAACUGUUUAGUGACUCAGAGUACAGAUUUUGUGUUAGGCAUUUGUGGCAGAAUUUCACAAAAAACUUUAAAGGUGAAAUCUUGAAGAACCAACUAUGGAGAUGCGCAAGAAGUACUACAACAGGUCAAUUUAGGGCCAACAUGGACCAUAUGUUGAUUUUAAAUAAAGAAGCUCAUGACUGA